GUGAGGAAUUUUCCGCAAUGGGCGAAAGCCUGACGGAGCAAUGCCGCGUGAAGGAUGAAGGCCUAUGGGUUGUAAACUUCUUUUCUCAGAAAAGAAUUAUGACGGUAUCUGAGGAAUAAGCAUCGGCUAACUCUGUGCCAGCAGCCGCGGUAAGACAGAGGAUGCAAGCGUUAUCCGGAAUGAUUGGGCGUAAAGCGUCUGUAGGUUGUUUAAAAAGUAUUCUGUCAAAGAUUAGGGCUUAACCCUAGAUAGGCAGAAUAAACUUUUAAGCUAGAGUUUGGUAGAGGCAGAGGGAAUUCCCGGUGGAGCGGUGAAAUGCGUAGAUAUCGGGAGGAACACCAAAGGCGAAGGCACUCUGCUUGGCCAAUACUAACACUGAGAGACGAAAGCGAGGGGAGCAACUGGGAUUAGAAACCCCGGUAGUCC
rnacentral:rRNA from 1 species